AGCUCCAAGAGCGUAUAUUAAAGUUGUUGCAGUUAAAAAGCUCGUAGUUGGAUUUCUGGUACAAUGCGCCUGGCCCGCGGCAGUAAUGCCUGUGAGUGCCGGUGCGCGUUUGCCAUCCUUCUAGAAAACGUUUCUACCCUUUACUGGGCCGGACUCGCGAUCUAGAUCUUUUACUUUGAAAAAAUUAGAGUGUUCAAAGCAGGCUUUUGCUGUGAAUACAUUAGCAUGGAAUAAUAAUCUAGGACUUCGGUUUUAUUUUGUUGGUUUCUAACACUGAAGUAAUGAUUGAUAGGGAUAGUUGGGGGUGCUAGUAUUGGCCGGCCAGAGGUGAAAUUCUUGGAUUCGGUCAAGACUAACUUAUGCGAAAGCAUUCACCAAGGAUGUCUUCU
rnacentral:rRNA from 1 species